rfam:Tropilaelaps mercedesae isolate Wuxi-XJTLT scaffold0000018584, whole genome shotgun sequence.
ACGCCAUGAAAGACAUGGGUAGUGAGAUGUCCUACGAAAGUCGCUUUAUCUCACUAGCCUGUCUUUGACGAGGUU